AGAAAAAAUCCUUCGACCCCGCCCACAUCAAGGCGCUAGACUCCUAUUUUACCGUCCGCUGCGUCAUUAUGUAAUCCCGGAAGUGGCCUGGCUGAGGCAAGGGAAACAAGGCCCCGGCAGGCCCCACCAAGCUACCUUCUGGAAUCAGCCUCCCCGCGACUCUGCUGCGUGUAAAACAAAAACCCGCCAACUGCUGCCUUCAGAGGGCCUACUGCAACGGGCUUGUCAUCAGAGAGCGGCGCGAUCCAGCUUAGAAAUACAAUGCCAUGCACAGAA